AGAGCGAACGCUGGCGGCAGGCCUAACACAUGCAAGUCGAGCGCCCCGCAAGGGGAGCGGCAGACGGGAGAGUAACACGUGGGAACGUACCCUUCAGUUCGGAACAACCCAGGGAAACUUGGGCUAAUACCGAAUACGUCCGUAAGGAGAAAGAUUUAUCGCUGAAGGAUCGGCCCGCGUCUGAUUAGCUUGUUGGUGAGGUAACAGCUCACCAAGGCGACGAUCAGUAGCUGGUCUGAGAGGAUGAUCAGCCUCACUGGGACUGAGACACGGCCCAGACUCCUACGGGAGGCAGCAGUGGGAAUAUUGGACAAUGGGCGCAAGCCUGAUCCAGCCAUGCCGCGUGGGUGAUGAAGGCCCUAGGGUUGUAAAGCCCUUUCGGCGGGGAAGAUAAUGACGGUACCGCAGAAGAAGCCCCGGCUAACUUCGUGCCAGCAGCCGC
rnacentral:rRNA from 1 species